UACGAAGGGGGCUAGCGUUGCUCGGAAUCACUGGGCGUAAAGCGCACGUAGGCGGAUCUUUAAGUCAGGGGUGAAAUCCCAAGGCUCAACCUUGGAACUGCCUUUGAUACUGGGGAUCUCGAGUCCGGAAGAGGUUGGUGGAACUGCGAGUGUAGAGGUGAAAUUCGUAGAUAUUCGCAAGAACACCAGUGGCGAAGGCGGCCAACUGGUCCGGUACUGACGCUGAGGUGCGAAAGCGUGGG
rnacentral:rRNA from 1 species